UACGUAGGUGGCGAGCGUUGUCCGGAUUUACUGGGCGUAAAGGGAGCGUAGGCGGACUUUUAAGUGAGAUGUGAAAUACUCGGGCUCAACUUGAGUGCUGCAUUUCAAACUGGAAGUCUAGAGUGCAGGAGAGGAGAAUGGAAUUCCUAGUGUAGCGGUGAAAUGCGUAGAGAUUAGGAAGAACGCCAGUGGCGAAGGCGAUUCUCUGGACUGUAACUGACGCUGAGGCUCGAAAGCGUGGGGAGCAAAUAGG
rnacentral:rRNA from 1 species